rnacentral:misc_RNA from 1 species
UGUAGAAUCUCACCAAGCAGGUCCACACGAAAGAGUAACUUCGUGUUUGUUUUAUCUUAA